AUAUCUUCUGUUGUAUCUUCAGGUUUGAAUUUUAUUUUUAGGUCAUUAGUCUUUUGUUUGUGACUUUCUUUUAUUGCCUGGCUGCUUUGGGGAGAUUUGCCUUUGCUAGUCAUUAGCGGGCUUUUACAACGUGGGCACAAUUGGUUAAUCCCAUAAUAGAAACCUGCUGUGUGGAGAGUGCUAUUUUUACUGUACAUACCGUAUCUCAUAGCACAAGGCAGUUUGAGAAGGGGAUACAGCUGCCAUUAAAUCUAUACAUCUCAAGAAGGGCCAUGAAUAGCUGUUCCUUGUGUAAGGACGUGUCCUGCAGUUCUAUUAUCCCUGAGAGCUCAGGCUCUCAGUAACACUGUUCUUUAGCAAAUCAAUAUCCUUACCUCUCCUUUUUUGAUUCUUUUUUCUUCUCUCACUUGAUCCAUUGUUCCUGAAAAGAAAUGGAGCCUGCUCUCCACUGACCUGUGGGUGCGUGUUGGGCUGUGCUAGACUGACAUGCUGGCAGAAGCAUAGUGGGACUUCCACCUGGUCCACGAACCUCCACAUCUUUCCAGGGAAGCCAGGGUGCCGAGGGAAGACGCUUUUUUUUAGGUACUUAACACUACAAAGAAGGCAAGUGCUGCUGCUAUAUGUUACAGGUGUGGAAUUGUGAUACUUGGACUGUGGAAUGACUGAGUUGGGAAGAGAACUAAAGCCCCCAGAAAGUAUAUUGCAUUUCCAGUGAUUUCUACUCUGGGCAAACCCACAGUGCUUUGCAAUCUUCAUCAUGGGUGGAAGGAUGGAAGAAAGGAUAUGGAGGUCAAAAGAGAUGAAGGAAUGUGUACAGGAUGGGUUACAGGUGAUCAGCCAUGCCGAGAUGAGAAUCUGGAGGUGAGAUCUUGAAUUCCUGAAAUAGAAGUUUUGCUGAAGGCAUCGGUGAAGCUUAUUUGGAACCACUGCCUCCCAAACCCAAGUCAGCUAAUAUUUGAUCCAUGCUAAGUGCACUCCUCCUCAGAUCAGGGCAUUUCUCCGGAGAGUCAUAUUUCUACAAAGAGAAAGAAGUCACCAUCUAUUUUGAACAUUAAAAAGCAUUAUCUUAUUUUCAAGCAUUUACACUGCUUCCUUAUUACCUGUAUUUAAAAAUAAAUGUAAAUUUAUCUUGGAAUAAUAUACCACAGACAAAUACUUUGAUCAUU